GUAAGUUNUGGUCACGUAAGGAGUUGAAUAUUUCCCAACCAGGAUUCCAGUUGUGAGAAAAUUUAACAGGGGAAGCUCCUUCUUAUAUCAGAUCGUCUGAU